rnacentral:rRNA from 1 species
AUUGAACGCUGGCGGCAGGCCUAACACAUGCAAGUCGAGCGGUAGAGAGAAGCUUGCUUCUCUUGAGAGCGGCGGACGGGUGAGUAAUGCCUAGGAAUCUGCCUGGUAGUGGGGGAUAACGUUCGGAAACGGACGCUAAUACCGCAUACGUCCUACGGGAGAAAGCAGGGGACCUUCGGGCCUUGCGCUAUCAGAUGAGCCUAGGUCGGAUUAGCUGGUUGGUGAGGUAAUGGCUCACCAAGGCGACGGUCCGUAACUGGUCUGAGAGGAUGACCAGUCACACUGGAACUGAGACACGGUCCAGACUCCUACGGGAGGCAGCAGUGGGGAAGAUUGGACAAUGGGCGAAAGCCUGAUCCAGCCAUGCCGCGUGUGUGAAGAAGGUCUUCGGAUUGUAAAGCACUUUAAGUUGGGAGGAAGGGCAGUUACCUAAUACGUAAUUGUUUUGACGUUACCGACAGAAUAAGCACCGGCUAACUCUGUGCCAGCCGCCGCAGUAA